UUUGUCCGUUGGUCGGGCUUAACUGUCCGUAUUUCCUCGAUGGAUUCUUACCUUCUGAAUAACCAGCAUGCUAUUAAUUUAGUGCGUUGGGGAAGCAGAUCUAUUACCUUGAAAAAAUUAGAGUGCUUAAAGCGAGCUAGUGCUUGAAUAGAUUAGCAUGGAAUAAUAAAAGAGGACGGCAUGGUUCUAUUUUGUUGGUUUCUAGGAUCACCGUA
rnacentral:rRNA from 1 species